CUCCUGAGAGGUGAACUCUCCUCUGGGCUCAUUCUGUUUCACAUCCUGCUCACCUUUUAGUGCACAUCAUCUGCUUCUGUUCACUCGCCGUCUUUACCUGAUUCCUGCAUCACCAACGGGACAAAGACACUGAUGCUUCCACUCAAACUAAACCAGGAAGUUGGUGUGAUGACAACGUGCCACCAGCAGCUCUAUGGAGGGAAUUUUGGUCCAUUAAAUUUUGCAAAGAACACGUUUUGUAAAAUUAAAAUGGAUGUAAUCCAGAGUGAUUUCUCAGAUUUGGUUUUUCUAAAUAUAUUAAUGUAAUUUUGUGCAUAUUUUGCUUUAUUUUUUGUUUUUCUAAUAUUUUCUUACAGAUUUUAUUUAUUUUUUUAUCAGACUGAGUUUUACAAAUUCCUUUUAUUUCAGGUUGUAUUUUCCAGUUCUCAUUGUCUAGACUUGUGGGGCGGGAGCUCCUGUGGAGUGACGUCUAAAGACGCAUUUCAAUUGGUCUUCUAGGUCGUUAGCAACAACAGUUUCAUUGGUCAAUAUUGGCUUAAAGGAAAGGGAAUUGGAUCUAAAAACACGGUAUGAGAAGAAAAAUUUGUAAAACUCGAUCUGAAAAAGAUUAAAGAAAAACAGCUCUGCUACAUCCUGUUUUUGGCCCAACUUCUAAAUUUUACUUAACGUUUUAGUGUCUUUAUCCCGGUGACGCUAGGUGACGUUAGCUGUGUUUCUUUAUCCCGGUGACGCUAGGUGAUGUUAGCAGAGUGUCUUUAUCCCGGUGACGCUAGGUGAUGUUAGCAGAGUGUCUUUAUCCUGGUGACGCUAUCGGAGUGUCUAUCCCGUUGACGUUAGGUGACGUUAGCUGUGUUUCUUUAUCCCGGUGACGCUAGGUGAUGUUAGCAGAGUGUCUUUAUCCCGGUGACGCUAGGUGAUGUUAGCAGAGUGUCUUUAUCCUGGUGACGCUAGCGGAGUGUCUUUAUCCCGUUGACGCUAGCGGAGUGUCUUUAUCCCGGUGACGCUAGGUGACGUUAGCGGAGUGUCUUUAUCCCGGCGACGCUAGUGGAGUGUCUUUAUCCCGGCGACGCUAGCGGGGUGUCUUUAUCCCGGCGACGCUAGCGGGGUGUCUUUAUCCCGGCGACGCUAGCGAGGUGUCUUUAUCCCGGCGACCCUAGCGGGGUGUCUUUAUCCCGGCGACGCUAGCGGAGUGUCUUUAUCCCGGCGACGCUAGCGGGGUGUCUUUAUCCCGGCGACGCUAGCGGGGUGUCUUUAUCCCGGUGACCCUAGCGGGGUGUCUUUAUCCCGGCGACGCUAGGUGAUGUUAGCAGAGUGUCUUUAUCCCGGUGACGUUAGCAGAGUGUCUUUAUCCUGGUGACGUUAGCGGAGUGUCUUUAUCCCGGUGACGCUAGGUGAUGUUAGCGGAGUGUCUUUAUCCCGGCGACGCUAGUGGGGUGUCUUUAUCCUGGUAACGUUAGCAGAGUGUCUUUAUCCCGGUGACGCUAGCGGGGUGUCUUUAUCCCGGUGACGCUAGCGGGGUGUCUUUAUCCCGGUGACGCUAGGUGACGUUAGCGGAGUGUCUUUAUCCCGGCGACGCUAGUGGGGUGUCUUUAUCCUGGUAACGUUAGCAGAGUGUCUUUAUCCCGGUGACGCUAGCGGGGUGUCUUUAUCCCGGUGACGCUAGCGGGGUGUCUUUAUCCCGGUGACGCUAGGUGACGUUAGCGGAGUGUCUUUAUCCCGGCGACGCUAGUGGGGUGUCUUUAUCCCGGCGACGCUAGCGGGGUGUCUUUAUCCCGGUGACGCUAGCGGGGUGUCUUUAUCCCGGUGACGCUAGCGGGGUGUCUUUAUCCCGGUGACGCUAGCGGGGUGUCUUUAUCCCGGUGACGCUA